rnacentral:rRNA from 1 species
GAUGAACGCUGGCGGCGUGCCUAAUACAUGCAAGUCGAGCGAACAGACGAGGAGCUUGCUCCUCUGACGUUAGCGGCGGACGGGUGAGUAACACGUGGAUAACCUACCUAUAAGACUGGGAUAACUUCGGGAAACCGGAGCUAAUACCGGAUAAUAUAUUGAACCGCAUGGUUCAAUAGUGAAAGACGGUUUUGCUGUCACUUAUAGAUGGAUCCGCGCCGCAUUAGCUAGUUGGUAAGGUAAUGGCUUACCAAGGCAACGAUGCGUAGCCGACCUGAGAGGGGGGUCGGCCACCCGGGAAGUGGGACACGGUCCAGACUCCUACGGGAGGCAGCAGUAGGGAAUGUUCCGCAAUGGGCGAAAGCCUGACGGAGCAACGCCGCGUGAGUGAUGAAGGUCUUCGGAUCGUAAAACUGUGUUAUUAGGGAAGAACAAAUGUGUAAGUAACUAUGCACGUCUUGACGGUACCGAAUCAGAAAGCCACGGCUAACUACGUG